GCUCGCGGUCACCACUUCUUUCAGGUCACUCUCGGGUUUCCCGGCCACCAUAAAGGGCCACGUCUGCGGGAAAGAAGAAGGUGGAGGAGGAUGUACUAAAAGAAGACAGAUCAGUCUUUCUCCUGAUAAGAAGAGUCACCAAGAGGAACAUCUGCAACAACUAGAUGCUGCUACAAAGAGACCAAUCAACAACUGCUCAGCAGAGAUACAGAUCUGAAGCACAGAAGUGCAAGAGACUUUCCUGAUGCCUUCGCCAGGAGCAUGGAAUUCUUCCCAGAGUCACAGAAGACAGCACAGCCUGGGGACAACUGGGAAUCACCUGGAGGAUGGCAGACAACACGAACCUGCAAGUAAUCAUAGGACCAGCUUCCUCUACUGUUUGGGAAUUGCAG